AGCAGCAGCAUCCUGGUCACGGACGACGUUACGUCGCAUCCACGAGGCAGCUUUGGCAUUUUUCCCGAGGCCAUGGUAAAUUGCAUCUAUCAAGACUGCAUCGAGCCAGGAACGUUAAGACGAAAGUGAAAGGAGGAAAGACUCAGGAGAUGGUCAAAACGAAGGACCGACACCCAGUACCUUGAGGAUCAAAUUAUAACGGAUCAUCAGCACUUAGGCGACUCAGCGAAUUUCACAGUUCACGGCGAAGCCCAAGAAAUGGCUGCUGCAUUGCAAGUACAAAGAGGAACACAAGAGUAUGAAUGACAGGAGAAUAAAAAAAUUGAAAGGAUCGCCAUAUGGAGCCUGUCGAAGGAUUUUCAGGCAGGAGAUGAUUUCGUUGCAUAAUUCUCCGGACAUUCAACGUCAAUUUACGUCCUUUCAUCUACGGUUGCACUCGAACCGCAACAUCAUUUUCGCCUGGCAAUACAAGAGCGCCCGUUCAAUGUCGAACGAUCUAACAUCUGUCCGUGUUUUGCUACCUGGCCGUGACGGAGCAUUGGCGAGAGGAACAUCCGUCGACAGUUAACCCCAUCGAAGGCUCCAAUGACUUCCGCG